rnacentral:rRNA from 1 species
UACAGAGGGUGCGAACGUUGCUCGGAAUUACUGGGCGUAAAGCGCAUGUAGGCGGAUCCAUAAGUCGGGCGUGAAAUCCCCAGGCUCAACCUGGGAACUGCGCUCGAAACUGUGGGUCUUGAGUGUUGGAGAGGAUGGCGGAAUUCCUGGUGUAGCGGUGGAAUGCGCAGAUAUCAGGAGGAACACCGGUGGCGAAGGCGGGUCUCUGGCCCGGUACUGACGCUGAAAUACGAAAGCGUGGGGAGCAAACAGG